rnacentral:rRNA from 1 species
AUUGAACGCUGGCGGCAGGCCUAACACAUGCCAGUCGAGCGGAGCGGCGGACGGGUGAGUAAUGCCUAGGAAUCUGCCUGGUAGUGGGGGAUAACGUCCGGAAACGGGCGCUAAUACCGCAUACUAUCAGAUGAGCCUAGGUCGGAUUAGCUAGUUGGUGGGGUAAAGGACUACCAAGGAGACGAUCCGUAACUGGUCUGCGAGGAUGAUCAGUCACAUGGGAAGUGAGACCAGGUCCAGACUCAUACGGGAGGCAGCAGUGGGGAAUAUUAGACAAUGGGCGAAAGCCUGAUACAGCAAUGGCGCGUGUGUGAAGAAGGUGUUCGGAUUGUAAAGCACGUUAAGUUGGGAGGCGGUACCAACAGAAUAAGCACCGGCUAACUACGUGCCAGCCGCCGCGGUAAUAC